rnacentral:rRNA from 1 species
UACGUAGGGGGCAAGCGUUGUUCGGAUUCAUUGGGCGUAAAGGGUGUGUAGGUGGCGCCGUAAGUCGGGUGUGAAAUUUCGGAGCUUAACUCCGAAACUGCAUUCGAUACUGCGGUGCUUGAGGACUGGAGAGGAGACUGGAAUUCAUGGUGUAGCAGUGAAAUGCGUAGAGAUCAUGAGGAAGACCAGUGGCGAAGGCGGGUCUCUGGACAGUGCCUGACACUGAGACACGAAGGCCAGGGGAGCAAACGGG